AACGAACGCUGGCGGCAUGCCUAACACAUGCAAGUCGAACGAUCCCUUCGGGGAUAGUGGCGCACGGGUGCGUAACGCGUGGGAACCUGCCCUUAGGUUCGGAAUACCUCAGAGAAAUUUGAGCUAAUACCGGAUAAUGUCUUCGGACCAAAGAUUUAUCGCCUUUGGAUGGGCCCGCGUUGGAUUAGCUAGUUGGUGGGGUAAAGGCCUACCAAGGCGACGAUCCAUAGCUGGUCUGAGAGGAUGAUCAGCCACACUGGGACUGAGACACGGCCCAGACUCCUACGGGAAGCAGCAGUGGGGAAUAUUGGACAAUGGGCGAAAGCCUGAUCCAGCAAUGCCGCGUGAGUGAUGAAGGCCUUAGGGUUGUAAAGCUCUUUUACCCGGGAUGAUAAUGACAGUACCGGGAGAAUAAGCCCCGGCUAACUCCGUG
rnacentral:rRNA from 1 species